CGUUACGAACGUAACUCAAUACAUUAAAUCGAUUCCUAUCAGAUAAGUCAACUGUUGAUGCUUGCUUAUGGCUUGCUUUCGGGUAGGUCAUUGGGUAAGUGGAAGUUUACCUGAUAGUUUGUCAACCGUCAAAGGUUGGCUUUGAUCUGCUUAAUGAGACAAAUUGUGUUUAGCAAAAUGAGAUUGAGCAAUAACAGGUCCGUGAUGCCCUUAGAUGUCCUGGGUUGCACGCGCGCUACAAUGAGACCAUCAACGUGAUACCUGAUCUGAAAGGAUUGGGAAAUCACUUAAAUGUGCUCUUAGUUGGGAUUGUGGAUUGUAAUUAUUCACAUGAACCUGGAAUUCCCAGUAAAUGCUAGUCAUCAGCUAGCGUUGACUAAGUCCCUGCCCUUUGUACACACCGCCCGUCGCUAUUACCGAUUGGUUAUUUAGUGAGGUCUCCGGAGGUAAUCGCCGAAGAUGCUUAGGUAUCAUUAGGUUGUUUUGCCAAAGUUGACCGAACUUGAUGAUUGAGAGGAAAUAAAAGUCGUAACAAGGUUUCCGUAGGUGAACCUGCGGAAGGAUCAUUA
rnacentral:rRNA from 1 species